UGGGGAAUAUUGGACAAUGGGCGAAAGCCUGAUCCAGCCAUGCCGCGUGUGUGAAGAUGGUCUUCGGAUUGUAAAGCACUUUAAGUUGGGAGGAAGGGCAGUAAGCGAAUACCUUGCUGUUUUGACGUUACCGACAGAAUAAGCACCGGCUAACUCUGUGCCAGCAGCCGCGGUAAUACAGAGGGUGCAAGCGUUAAUCGGGAUUACUGGGCGUAAAGCGCGCGUAGGUGGUUCGUUAAGUUGAAUGUGAAAGCCCCGGGCUCAACCUGGGAACUGCAUCCAAAACUGGCGAGCUAGAGUAGGGCAGAGGGUGGUGGAAUUUCCUGUGUAGCGGUGAAAUGCGUAGAUAUAGGAAGGAACACCAGUGGCGAAGGCGACCACCUGGGCUCAUACUGACACUGAGGUGCGAAAGCGUGGGGAGCAAACAGG
rnacentral:rRNA from 1 species